ensembl:lncRNA
CCAACAGUGACUGCUGGGCUCUGGGCAGCGCUGAAUGGUGCUUGUGAGCCUCACAGUGCUGCUGCCACUGGCUCUGUUAGCCUUGCAACGGUUGCACAGUUCUUGGGAAGCACAGGUCCUGCUAUGUUUUGUCCCAGGGGGCUGCCAGAAGCCUGGAGCUCUUGAGGUGGUGUGGAGCCAUGUGCAAGUCUCUCAUGGUCUCCAGGGCAAAAUGAGGGGCCCCAGCCCUGUGCGCCCAGCCUGAAGCAUUGGUCUUGGCAAGGAUAAAACCUGCUACUGGUUUUGUUGGGAUGUCCUGACCUGUGUCUGCCCUGCCAUGUGUCACGCCUGGCCUGAGCCCUUGCUCCUUUCUGUCCCCACACACUGAUGGCCCCUGCACGGGUAGCGCAGGAUGCUGGGAUGACGUGCUGGGCCAGGCUGUGCCUCAGCUCUCGUGUGCAGAGGGCACUGCUGAGCACCCGUGCCCAGCUGGCAUGCUGGUAACGAGGAAGCGAGGAAGGAAAAACAACAAACCCCGGCUCAGCAAAGGAGGUGCAAACCACCCGAGUCAAAUCACGUCUCCCAGCGUGGUGGCACAGACAACACGGACUGUCCCCCAUCUGGAGGAAGCCUGGCAGCUGAGCAGACUGUGGUGACGCUUCCAGUGAACACUUGGAGCCAAACGAGAGGAAGGUUCUUCCGUGACCAGCAAGAGCAGGGAAAGACUCCUGGUGGCUGAAUGGUGGAGCAAAGCCAAGGUCCCAGCAGCCUGUCAUGUCUGUGGGUAGCAGAACAGCUCCAGCACACCCGUCCCUUUCCAUGGCCCCCGGCACAGCAGCGUAGUGCGGGGGAGAUGGAUGGGCUGUGGUAGGAUGAGCCCUGCCCUGCUCCUGCUGCUCUCCCUGGCCAGCUGCUCCCUGCUCCAGGGGACGCUACUGAGGCCACAGCACGUGAGGCUGGAGGCACAGAACUUCCACGUCUGGCUGCACUGGGAGCCAGACCCCAGCUUACCCAGCUCUGCCACCUACGAGGUGGAGUGGAGGAACAGAACCUCGAACUGGACCAAGGCAGGUGCCUGUGGGGGGAACAGCAGAAACUCCUGGGGGUGUGAGCUGCAUUUUGACAGGAUUCAUGAUAUCUACUGGGCACGGGUGAGAGUGGUGGCUGGAGGUGAGCAGUCCGAGUGGGCCGGUUCCAGCGAGCUGCAGCUGUACAGAGACACAAUUGUUGGCCCCCCAAAAUUGUCCUUGCUGCUCCAGGACCAAAUUCUCAGUGUAAACAUCACCACACCACUCACUCCCUACAAGAGAAGAACUGGCUCCUACAAGCGAGUCAACCAAGUGCUGCUGAAGCUGUGGUACUGGCUGCACCUCUACGAGGGGGAGCUGCUUGUCCAGCAGGUGCCCUGCAAACGGAGGAGUGAGGAAGUGCCUUGCACCUUUGAGCACCUGAAGGCCAGCACACAGUACUGCGUGCGGACAGUGGCUGCAGGCAUUGCCAGGGAGCGGAGCCGGGAGGCUGAGCAGUGCCUGCUGACUCCAGCAGCCCCUUCAGGUUUUCCAUGGCUGCCUGUUGUGCUGAGUACCUUUGUCCUGCUGCUGCUACUAAGUGUGGUCGGGUUCUGCUUCAUGUGGCUGCAUGUCUUUCCCAAUUCUCCAGAGACGUGUCUCCCAAAAGCACUGGCUCUCCAGAACAGCGAGCUGAGUGUGACCAUGCAGCUCCCUCCACUCCAGCUUGAGGAGGACCCCCUGGCCCAGCUCCUGCAGACUGCACUCCCCUCCCACGGGCCACCCGCAGCUGUGCAGGCAUCAGCCACGGUCCCACGGCUCCUCCAAGGCCUUGCCCAGGAUGUGAGUGGCUACUGUGCCAAUGGGUUCAGCCCAAACUGCACCGAGGGAAGGGAGCCAUCCUGCACCCACAGUCAGCUGGGACAUGCCUUAGCUUCCCAGCUCCCCUCACAGCUGGACGAGGAUGGGGAGGCAGGUGAUGGGGAUGAUUUGCCAGAGCAGCUGGUGCUAGUGGGACUGGCUGGACACAGCUACAUAGGUGACAGGGACAGCCAGACACCUGAGAUAUGGCAGCCCCUGCACCUCCAGCUUUAUUCUAAAUGCCAGUGCCCAGUCCUGGGAGCAGGCAGCCACCUUCCUCUGGCCGUGCCAAGCAGAAGCUGCAGGCAGGAGUACCUGCAGGAGAGUCUCGGCACGGCUGGGCACUGGAUCCAGCUCAGCUCCGUGAAGCUCCUGGCCAGCGUGGAGGCAGAGGGAGGGCAGCACCUCUGUGCUCCCCAAGCCCUGCGUGGCGACGGGACUGAGCCAGAACAAGGUGACGGCACCGUGCAGCGAGGCUGCUCGGAGCAGGCAGAACCGUCCCUCUCCUGCCCCAGCCAGCUGCCCCCCUCGCCCCGCAGCGGCCUGCGGCCCGCUGCCUCCUCUGGCUACGAGCCACGUGCCCCCAUCGGGCACUGAGCCACAGCCAGCAGGGCUCCCCGGCAGCCUCCAGCUGCCAGCAGAGCCCUCCCCGGGCUCCCCGGCCCUGAGGCUGCGUGUCCCAACCUGCUGGUGCUGGGGAUGGCACUGGGGCAGGCUCCCGGGGCAGGCAGAGACGUAUUCCGGGCACGGCCGCCAAGGAUCCGCCAAGGACGGGCAGGAUCCAGAACUUUCCUCUGGAACUUUGGUGCUCUUGAGACACAGCAUAAGGAGCAUGGACCAACACUGAGCCCCUAAAACUCUUAUCCAGAGAUGUGUCCGUAUGUGAACAUGUAUGGUACAGCAGCUAUACUAAUGUAUAUACAUAUAUAUUUAUAAAGCUCUUUAAUGAAAAAAUGUUGAGGUUUUUACUUCUGUGGAAAUGUUGAUUCUGUGCUGGAGUUGUUUUUAAAUAUCACUAAUUUAUUCUAGAA